rnacentral:rRNA from 1 species
GAUGAACGCUGGCGGCGUGCCUAAUACAUGCAAGUCGAGCGAACGGACGAGAAGCUUGCUUCUCUGAUGUUAGCGGCGGACGGGUGAGUAACACGUGGAUAACCUACCUAUAAGACUGGGAUAACUUCGGGAAACCGGAGCUAAUACCGGAUAAUAUUUUGAACCGCAUGGUUCAAAAGUGAAAGACGGUCUUGCUGUCACUUAUAGAUGGAUCCGCGCUGCAUUAGCUAGUUGGUAAGGUAACGGCUUACCAAGGCAACGAUGCAUAGCCGACCUGAGAGGGUGAUCGGCCACACUGGAACUGAGACACGGUCCAGACUCCUACGGGAGGCAGCAGUAGGGAAUCUUCCGCAAUGGGCGAAAGCCUGACGGAGCAACGCCGCGUGAGUGAUGAAGGUCUUCGGAUCGUAAAACUCUGUUAUUAGGGAAGAACAUAUGUGUAAGUAACUGUGCACAUCUUGACGGUACCUAAUCAGAAAGCCACGGCUAACUACGUGCCAGCAGCCGCGGUAAUACGUAGGUGGCAAGCGUUAUCCGGAAUUAUUGGGCGUAAAGCGCGCGUAGGCGGUUUUUUAAGUCUGAUGUGAAAGCCCACGGCUCAACCGUGGAGGGUCAUUGGAAACUGGAAAACUUGAGUGCAGAAGAGGAAAGUGGAAUUCCAUGUGUAGCGGUGGAAUGCGCAGAGAUAUGGAGGAACACCAGUGGCGAAGGCGACUUUCUGGUCUGUAACUGACGCUGAUGUGCGAAAGCGUGGGGAUCAAACAGGAUUAGAUACCCUGGUAGUCCACGCCGUAAACGAUGAGUGCUAAGUGUUAGGGGGUUUCCGCCCCUUAGUGCUGCAGCUAACGCAUUAAGCACUCCGCCUGGGGAGUACGACCGCAAGGUUGAAACUCAAAGGAAUUGACGGGGACCCGCACAAGCGGUGGAGCAUGUGGUUUAAUUCGAAGCAACGCGAAGAACCUUACCAAAUCUUGACAUCCUUUGACAACUCUAGAGAUAGAGCCUUCCCCUUCGGGGGACAAAGUGACAGGUGGUGCAUGGUUGUCGUCAGCUCGUGUCGUGAGAUGUUGGGUUAAGUCCCGCAACGAGCGCAACCCUUAAGCUUAGUUGCCAUCAUUAAGUUGGGCACUCUAAGUUGACUGCCGGUGACAAACCGGAGGAAGGUGGGGAUGACGUCAAAUCAUCAUGCCCCUUAUGAUUUGGGCUACACACGUGCUACAAUGGACAAUACAAAGGGCAGCGAAACCGCGAGGUCAAGCAAAUCCCAUAAAGUUGUUCUCAGUUCGGAUUGUAGUCUGCAACUCGACUACAUGAAGCUGGAAUCGCUAGUAAUCGUAGAUCAGCAUGCUACAGUGAAUACGUUCCCGGGUCU